GGCCAAGCUCGCCGCGCAGCUCAAGGACAAGCUAUGCGGCCUCAUCGGCCGCAUCACCAGCUGUGGCCGCGCCGGCCACAAGGACGCCGCUGGUGUAAAGGAGACCCAUUCGGCUUCAGCUCAGACAGAGAUCAGGUCAAGAGGACUUCCACCGUCUGUGUCAGGAGGAUCCAAGCCUCAUACCAAUUAAUUAACAUCGAUAUCCAUAUAAUAUACCAUCUAAAGAUGGAUAUAUAAUAUCUCUUUGCUUAAUAAUUAAUCAAUGGGUGAUAUAUGAUGCAAGAAUUAAUCAGGGUGAACUAGCUAUCUGAAGCUUUCCUUUCUUCUCUUGUUCUAUCUGUUUGAUGUGUGUUGUGUAAAAUCAGUAGCAUGUUUGGCCUUCAUUUUUAUCUUUUUGGUGUUUGCUAGUUCUCAGGGUUUGAUCUCGGGACCAAAACCUGUGUGCAUCAUUGGGCAUAUUUUUUUCCCUUAGGGAUUAACCCUGGCUACAAACAUGUACACAUGUCUGCAUGUUAGUGGGACCAUAUGUUAGGUCUAAGCCUCUUUUGUGUGGAGUAAGUGUUGUGGAGUUAUAUGUACCAUCUUAAAUAAAAGGAUAAGUGUAUUGAGCCUAAA